ACAGCAGUCGCCACGGUAAUACAGAGGGUGCAAGCGUUAAUCGGAAUUACUGGGCGUAAAGCGCGCGUAGGUGGUUUGUUAAGUCUGCUGUGAAAUCCCCGGGCUCAACCUGGGAAUGGCAGUGGAUACUGGCAAGCUAGAGUGUGUCAGAGGAUGGUGGAAUUCCCGGUGUAGCGGUGAAAUGCGUAGAGAUCGGGAGGAACAUCAGUGGCGAAGGCGGCCAUCUGGGACAACACUGACGCUGAGGCACGAAAGCGUGGGGAGCAAACAGGAUUAGAUACCCGCGUAGUCCCUGUCUCUUAUAC
rnacentral:rRNA from 1 species